rnacentral:rRNA from 1 species
GGCGAACGGCUGAGUAACAUGUAAGUAAUCUACCUCCGAAUGGGGAAUACCCAGUCGAAAGACUGGUUAAUACCGCAUAACGUAACCGGAUGAUUUUCGGUUACUAAAGCCGUAAGGCGUUUGGAGAUGAGCUUGCAUCCUAUCAGGUAGUUGGUGGGGUAAUGGCCUACCAAGCCGAUGACGGGUAGCUGGUCUGAGAGGACGACCAGCCAGACGGGGACUGAGACACGGCCCUGAUUCCUACGGGAGGCAGCAGCAGGGAAUUUUGCGCAAUGGGCGAAAGCCUGACGCAGCGACGCCGCGUGAGGGAAGAAGGCCUUCGGGUCGUAAACCUCUUUUUCUAGGGAAGAACUCUGACGGUACCUAGGGAAUAAGUCACGGCUAACUACGUGCCAGCAGCCGCGGUAAUACGUAGGUGGCUAACGUUAUCCGGAUUUACUGGGCGUAAAGAGGGCGCGGGCGGUUUUGCAAGUCGGAUGUGAAAUCUCUUCACUUAAUGAAGAGUCUUCGUUUGAUACUACAAGACUUGAGGGCAGCAGAGGGAAGUGGAACUCC